rnacentral:rRNA from 1 species
GACGAACGCUGGCGGCGUGCUUAACACAUGCAAGUCGAGCGGAAAGGCCCUUCGGGGUACUCGAGCGGCGAACGGGUGAGUAACACGUGAGUAACCUGCCCUCAACUUUGGGAUAACCCCGGGAAACCGGGGCUAAUACCGGGUAUGACCUCCCGCGGCAUCGCGGGGGGUGGAAAGCUUUUGCGGUUGGGGAUGGACUCGCGGCCUAUCAGCUUGUUGGUGGGGUAAUGGCCUACCAAGGCGACGACGGGUAGCCGGCCUGAGAGGGCGACCGGCCACACUGGGACUGAGACACGGCCCAGACUCCUACGGGAGGCAGCAGUGGGGAAUAUUGCACAAUGGGCGAAAGCCUGAUGCAGCGACGCCGCGUGAGGGAUGAAGGCCUUCGGGUUGUAAACCUCUUUCGACAGGGACGAAGCGCAAGUGACGGUACCUGGAGGAGAAGCACCGGCCAACUACGUGCCAGCAGCCGCGGUAAGAC